CCUACGGGUGGCAGCAGUGAGGAAUAUUGGUCAAUGGACGGAAGUCUGAACCAGCCAAGCCGCGUGAAGGAUGAAGGUUCUAAGAGUUGUAAACUUCUUUUGUCAAGGGGCAAAAGCAGACUCGCGUGUCUGUCUGAAGGUACCGUACGAAUAAGGAUCGGCUAACUCCGUGCCAGCAGCCGCGGUAAUACGGAGGAUUCAAGCGUUAUCCGGAUUUAUUGGGUUUAAAGGGUGCGUAGGCGGUCUGUUAAGUCAGAGGUGAAAUCCCGGGGCUCAACCUCGGCAUUGCGGUGGAUACUGGUCGGCUUGAGAGUAGGUGAGGUAGGCGGAAUGUGUGGUGUAGCGGUGAAAUGCUUAGAGA
rnacentral:rRNA from 1 species